rnacentral:lncRNA from 1 species
AUGGGGAGCAACUUCAGCAUGCAGACCUGCUGUGGGACCUGUGGGAAUUACAAGAAGCAGGAGGAAGUGAAUGAAGACACUAGUGAGACCAAGCCAAUUCUGCACCCCUCAGGGGAUACACCAAUGCAUACUGAUGCACAGCCUUCCCCACCAGCCCUGGAAACCUCUGAACAAAUCUCUGAAGCUCAGUCAUUCUGCCAGGACCAACAGCUGCCAGCUGAUAUUGCAGAGGAGAACAUGGAGACCUGCUGUCUUGCAGAUCCCGUGGGAAUGACUGAGGAAUGGAAGGCAGCCUGGAGCUCUGUGGAUUUCUUGGUGGCAUUCUCAGACAGGGAGACCAAAGAAGAGGCUGAAGUUCUGGAUCAGCAAGAAAGAGAGAAAGCAUGCAAUGCAGAAGAGAAAAUAAAACCUGCUCCUUAUGAUGAGGCCCAGCUGGCUAUGCACACAGCUCAGGAUCUGAAGCUUGCUGCAGAUAUAGUUCAGCCUGCUGAACAGGCUGGGGCUGGCAGUGAGGAUGGCCCACGUGCUGGAAUAACUCCCCAAGAAAUAAAUAUUCUCGAGCUCAUGGAAAGCGCAUGGAAAACUGCAGCUGCUCAAGACUUUGAGAUCAAGCCUCCCAGGGAGACUGGUGAGAGUUUGACAGGAUGGAACUUGCCACUCUAUGCUGUGCAGAAGAUGGCAAAAGAGGCUGAGCCCAACCUUCCUGCUGGGCACACGGAGCAGGCAGGCAGGGCUGGCCUUGCUGAAGGAAGAACUCAACUCACUGAGAGUGUCCAGAUCGCAUCUCCUGCAAAGGCUGCUUCUCUAAUGAACGUGCAGGAUACAGAGGAGACUGAGAAUAGAGUGGAUCCUGCAGACGCCGUAGUGGCAGAGAUGCGCUCUACUUCUGCGGUGCCUCAAGAAACCCUGUCUCCAGAAGGGUCAGCCAACCAGCUGCUUGACUUCUUACAGCAAGAGACUCGGUCUGCUGUGCCAGCUGCACAAGGGGUGCAGAGCUGUGCAGAAUCUGCUGAACUGAGUGAGGUUUUAAGUGAUGAAGACCAGGAAGCCCUCAGUGAUACAGUGAGAAGUGAGGAGAGCAGGGAAUGCAAUCUAAAAACUCCAGCAGAUGAGGCAGAGCCACAGGAGAGGGUUGUGCAACAAGUGCUGCAGCUUGCAGAAGAACUGGCUUGUGCCCAGGUGCCUGCAGAGGAAGAAGCUGAGCUCCUCAGUGUGGUACCAAUCCUGUAUGAAGUGCCUGGGAGUGAAGGAGACGUGCAGGUUGAAAAUGCUGAAGCUUGA